UCAAGGACAUCAACCACCUGAGCCACUGCCAGAAAGCGAGGUGGUGAAGAGGGGGUUGGCUCCAGGUGGUGAAGAGGGGGUUGGCUCCAGGUGGGGGAGGAGAGGUUCUGUUCUCGUGUCCCGUUCGCAAAACCCUCUUACGUCCAACUGUGGGACCCCGGCAAGAUCAAGAGAAUCAGAGAAAUAGUGUACUUUGUAAGUGUCUCUCCUCAGAUGGCCAACAGAAUAGUGGACUCUGCCAGAAGCGUACUGAACAAAUUCAUUCCAGAUAUUUACAUCUACACAGACCACAUGAAGGGGGACAAUUCUGGGAAUUCUCCAGGUUUUGAGCUGACCCUGGUGUUAGAGACCAUGAAUGGGACGUUCCUGUGCAAAAAUGCUGCUGGAGGAGAUCUCCAAGGACCCUAUCAUGCGGAAUAGGUGGUUGGAGUUCGUUGGUCCCCAGUGGUGGUGAGUAUAAUGGUAGCUAGACCAUAGACUGCUGCUUAUGUAUCUGGUUAUGUAUGUUUGAAAAGUUGUAUUAAAAAAUACCUGGCUUGAUAAACUAGUAGGCUAAUUCCCCAGCCAAGCAGAUACCACUAGUAGAGUCAUUUUGGUUGUGAAGUGCAUUAUCAAAAAGCUUUGUUCUUUCUUUAGAACAAAAAAUGCAAUUUACCACUCCUGUCUAUUGUAUCACCCUGUCACAGACCCUCCCAGUCAACACCACCUCAUCAGAUUGCCUGCUGCAGUUGUUUUAGAGAUGUCCAGUUUGCAUCCGAACAUGCAGCAUAGAGAAGACCUUCAUCAGCAUCAUGCAGACUUGACUUCACUCCUGAAUUCGAAAUUGAUGAAAUUGACUGGACAGCUGUGGACAAGGUUCUGACAGAUGGGUGUGUCUUGGUGGCGGCAAGGACACACCCAAGAAACACCCACAUCAAACCACACCCUCAAGCAAACUCACGUUUGGCUUCUGUCAUGGACGCCAGCAUUUCUUGAGGAGCAAGCAAAAAAACGAAGCCAAAUCAGCGUGUGCAGUUUCCCUUAAACAGAAAAUCCCCUUCCGGUGUAAAAAUCAUGGAAAUUAAAAACAAAAAACUAUGUUUUAAGUGAGAAGUAGGCAUUGGUUGAAAAAUAAAGGAAAUUGUGUGAC